GGUUAAGCGACUAAGCGUACACGGUGGAUGCCCUGGCAGUCAGAGGCGAUGAAGGACGUGCUAAUCUGCGAUAAGCGUCGGUAAGGUGAUAUGAACCGUUAUAACCGGCGAUUUCCGAAUGGGGAAACCCAGUGUGAUUCGUCACACUAUCAUUAACUGAAUCCAUAGGUUAAUGAGGCGAACCGGGGGAACUGAAACAUCUAAGUACCCCGAGGAAAAGAAAUCAACCGAGAUUCCCCCAGUAGCGGCGAGCGAACGGGGAGCAGCCCAGAGCCUGAAUCAGUGUGUGUGUUAGUGGAAGCGUCUGGAAAGGCGCGCGAUACAGGGUGACAGCCCCGUACACAAAAAUGCACAUACUGUGAGCUCGAUGAGUAGGGCGGGACACGUGGUAUCCUGUCUGAAUAUGGGGGGACCAUCCUCCAAGGCUAAAUACUCCUGACUGACCGAUAGUGAACCAGUACCGUGAGGGAAAGGCGAAAAGAACCCCGGCGAGGGGAGUGAAAAAGAACCUGAAACCGUGUACGUACAAGCAGUGGGAGCACGCUUAGGCGUGUGACUGCGUACCUUUUGUAUAAUGGGUCAGCGACUUAUAUUCUGUAGCAAGGUUAACCGAAUAGGGGAGCCGAAGGGAAACCGAGUCUUAACUGGGCGUUAAGUUGCAGGGUAUAGACCCGAAACCCGGUGAUCUAGCCAUGGGCAGGUUGAAGGUUGGGUAACACUAACUGGAGGACCGAACCGACUAAUGUUGAAAAAUUAGCGGAUGACUUGUGGCUGGGGGUGAAAGGCCAAUCAAACCGGGAGAUAGCUGGUUCUCCCCGAAAGCUAUUUAGGUAGCGCCUCGUGAAUUCAUCUCCGGGGGUAGAGCACUGUUUCGGCAAGGGGGUCAUCCCGACUUACCAACCCGAUGCAAACUGCGAAUACCGGAGAAUGUUAUCACGGGAGACACACGGCGGGUGCUAACGUCCGUCGUGAAGAGGGAAACAACCCAGACCGCCAGCUAAGGUCCCAAAGUCAUGGUUAAGUGGGAAACGAUGUGGGAAGGCCCAGACAGCCAGGAUGUUGGCUUAGAAGCAGCCAUCAUUUAAAGAAAGCGUAAUAGCUCACUGGUCGAGUCGGCCUGCGCGGAAGAUGUAACGGGGCUAAACCAUGCACCGAAGCUGCGGCAGCGACGCUGAUGCGUUGUUGGGUAGGGGAGCGUUCUGUAAGCCUGUGAAGGUGUGCUGUGAGGCAUGCUGGAGGUAUCAGAAGUGCGAAUGCUGACAUAAGUAACGAUAAAGCGGGUGAAAAGCCCGCUCGCCGGAAGACCAAGGGUUCCUGUCCAACGUUAAUCGGGGCAGGGUGAGUCGACCCCUAAGGCGAGGCCGAAAGGCGUAGUCGAUGGGAAACAGGUUAAUAUUCCUGUACUUGGUGUUACUGCGAAGGGGGGACGGAGAAGGCUAUGUUGGCCGGGCGACGGUUGUCCCGGUUUAAGCGUGUAGGCUGGUUUUCCAGGCAAAUCCGGAAAAUCAAGGCUGAGGCGUGAUGACGAGGCACUACGGUGCUGAAGCAACAAAUGCCCUGCUUCCAGGAAAAGCCUCUAAGCAUCAGGUAACAUCAAAUCGUACCCCAAACCGACACAGGUGGUCAGGUAGAGAAUACCAAGGCGCUUGAGAGAACUCGGGUGAAGGAACUAGGCAAAAUGGUGCCGUAACUUCGGGAGAAGGCACGCUGAUAUGUAGGUGAAGCGACUUGCUCGUGGAGCUGAAAUCAGUCGAAGAUACCAGCUGGCUGCAACUGUUUAUUAAAAACACAGCACUGUGCAAACACGAAAGUGGACGUAUACGGUGUGACGCCUGCCCGGUGCCGGAAGGUUAAUUGAUGGGGUCAGCGCAAGCGAAGCUCUUGAUCGAAGCCCCGGUAAACGGCGGCCGUAACUAUAACGGUCCUAAGGUAGCGAAAUUCCUUGUCGGGUAAGUUCCGACCUGCACGAAUGGCGUAAUGAUGGCCAGGCUGUCUCCACCCGAGACUCAGUGAAAUUGAACUCGCUGUGAAGAUGCAGUGUACCCGCGGCAAGACGGAAAGACCCCGUGAACCUUUACUAUAGCUUGACACUGAACAUUGAGCCUUGAUGUGUAGGAUAGGUGGGAGGCUUUGAAGUGUGGACGCCAGUCUGCAUGGAGCCGACCUUGAAAUACCACCCUU
rnacentral:rRNA from 1 species